CCUACGGGAGGCAGCAGUGGGGAAUCUUGCGCAAUGGGCGAAAGCCUGACGCAGCCAUGCCGCGUGGAUGAUGAAGGUCUUAGGAUUGUAAAAUCCUUUCACCGGUGAAGAUAAUGACUGUAGCCGGAGAAGAAGCCCCGGCUAACUUCGUGCCAGCAGCCGCGGUAAUACGAAGGGGGCUAGCGUUGCUCGGAAUUACUGGGCGUAAAGGGAGCGUAGGCGGACAUUUAAGUCAGAGGUGAAAUCCCGGAGCUUAACUUCGGAACUGCCUUUGAUACUGGGUGUCUUGAGUGUGAGAGAGGUAUGUGGAACUCCGAGUGUAGAGGUGAAAUUCGUAGAUAUUCGGAAGAACACCAGUGGCGAAGGCGACAUACUGGCUCAUUACUGACGCUGAGGCUCGAAAGCGUGGGGAGCAAACAGGAUUAGAUACCCUGGUAGUCCACGCCGUAAACGAUGAUUGCUAGUUGUCGGGAAGCUUGCUUCUCGGUGACGCAGCUACGCAUAGACACUCCGCCGUCGGGAGGUACGGUCGCGAGAAUUAAACUUAAAUAGAAGUUAGUACGGCGUGAGACGUGCCGACGGACGACGACGAGGGAGGUUAGG
rnacentral:rRNA from 1 species